rnacentral:sRNA from 1 species
CUACUUGAGAUUUCCCUCGUGGUGCCAGGGUCCGGCGAGCAUCACGCCGAGGCCCAUUUUCCAGACGACCACGACGAGGCCGGGGUCACUGCGUUUUCUGGGAGGCACUUUGCUUGACAGUAGGAAGACGAUGCUGAGAUGCAGUCCCUGGCUGUGGAGUAACUCGAGCGUCUUAGGGGUGUAGCCUGUAAAUGAUGGACUUCCCCGGCUCCCUCCGCCCUGCGUUGUUUAUGACCGGCCCUCUUGGUCUGAGUGACGUCCCUGACCUCUCUUUCAUGUGCAGCUGGCAAGAUGCGCUGACCCUGCCAGAGGCCCAGCCCCAGAACUCAGAGAAUGGGGCACUGCAUGUGACCAAGGACCUGCUGUGGGAGCCGGCAACCCCUGGGCCUCUCCCCAUGCUGCCUCCCCUCAUCGAUCCCUGGGACCCUGGCCUGACUGCCCGGGACCUGCUUUUCCGCGGAGGGUACCGGUAUCGGAGGCGGCCCCGAGUCGUGCUGGAUGUUACUGAGCAGGUGAGUGGGCCCACGGGGGACAGUGCUGCGUAGCCUGGAGACUGUGCUUAGUGACCUGGCCUCCUCCUCUCCCCAGAUCAGCCGGUUCCUCUGGGAUCAUGGAGACGUAGCCUUUGCGCCCCUGGGGAAGCUGAUGCUGGAGAAUUUCAAGCUGGAGGGAACAGCGAGCCGCACUAAGAAGAAGACAGUGGUCAGUGUGAAGAAGCUGCUCCAGGACCUCGGUGGACACCAGCCCUGGGGGUGUCCCUGGGCUUACCUCAGCAACCGACAGCGCCGCUUCUCUAUCCUCGGGGGCCCCAUCCUGGGCACAUCGGUGGCGAGCCACUUGGCAGAGCUGCUGCACGAGGAGCUGGUGCUGCGGUGGGAGCAGCUGCUUCUGGAUGAGGCCUGCACUGGGGGCGCGCUAGCCUGGGUGCCUGGAAGGACACCCCAGUUCGGGCAGCUGGUCUACCCUGCUGGAGGCGCCCUGGACAGGCUGCAUUUCCAAGAGGUCGUUCUGACCCCAGGUGACAGUCCCCAAUUCCUUGGGAACCCUGGACGCAUCCAGCUCCAGGGACCUGUCCGGCAGGUGGUGACAUGCACCGUCCAGGGAGAAACUCUGCUGGCCGUCCGCUCUGACUACCACUGUGCCGUGUGGAAGUUUGGUAAACAGUGGCAGCCAACCCUUCUGCAGGCAAUGCAGGUGGAGAAAGGGGCCACAGGGAUCAGCCUCAGCCCUCACCUGCCUGGGGAGCUGGCCAUCUGCAGCCGCUCAGGAGCCGUCUGCCUGUGGAGCCCUGAGGAUGGGUAUUGCCGCUUCCUGUGAAACCCCCCACCCUAACAAACUGAACUCUGCCCUGUUCAGCAUGUCACGACCCUUGAGCCCCUUCCACCUCAGCCUGU